UGUGCAGUGCGAGAACUUGUACGAAUCCAUUUCUUGCCUUUUACCAGAAGUGGCCGCGAGCUCCGCACAAAACUGCACUCAACAAAUCUUUGGAAAAUCACCAUGGGUU
rnacentral:snRNA from 1 species